UUGUGGGGCAAGAGCUCCCUUGAUGCAUUAAAAGAUGUCGGCAUUGGAAGACCAGCUUUGACUUCAGCUAAACUUUGAAUUCCAUCACUUAAUUUCAUAUAAACCCCCUCUUCUUCCCCCUAACCCUCCCUCUCCCUCUGGUUUUAGCUACAGAAAUUAGCUUAAAAAAGAGCUGAUAAAAAAGGUUACUUAACUCAUGGUGAGCGCCAAGUUCACAAGCUUCCUCCUCCUCUGGAUGCUGUUGUCUUCUUUAGCUCUGAGAGACUCCAUAGGUUCAGCUCAAGACUUCAUUAAUGUUGACACUGAAGCCUUUCAUUGGGAUAAGACUUUUUAUGUUGAGGCUGAGUACAGAGGAGGAGAGAGGAGCAGAGGAAGGAGGAUGGGGGCGAUGUGGAAAGGGGAAGAAGAGGAGAAGAGCAGAAGAAUCAGGAAAACAGGUGCAAAUCCUUCUGUUGGAAAAUGUGUUCAAGUUCAUGAAGGGAAGGGGAAGUUGAGGAUUGAAUGUAGAAAUAGUGGUUUUAGAAUUGUAAAAUUGUUUGGUAAAAUGCCAUUCAAUGCGGAUUACUAUUCACCAAAAACUCACCCACCAAAGCACAACUGAGGGAAUGCAAAAAAAUCUCAGAACAAGCAACUGAGGCCAUCAAACAACAAUAAAGAGGAUACAAAAUCUCAGCUUAAAACUGAAGCAAGAGGUCCUAAGCCUGUAAACUAUUCUAGUUUUCCUCACAGUGGUGGGAGGUUUGGAACAAAAGAGGCACAAUCAGUUUCCCAUGGAGCUACUGAUCAGUUUCAGAAAAUGAAGGCAGAGAAAGAUAGGGAUGCUGUUGCUGAGGUUUACAACAUGAUGGCUAAGGACUACCAUACAAAAGCCAAAAGCAAGCCUCCCAUUAACAACAAUGAGCAAUUUGAUGAGGAGCCUUAGCUGGUUUUUGGAUGCUCAGACUGAGUAGUUUGUUCUAUAUAUUUCUAACAAAAUAACCUAUAAAUAUCGCCUUCGUUAAUUUUGGUUGGAUAAACGGGGGUAUAUGUGUAAUAUUAAUAUUUAGUCUAGUAAUACAGUUCAAUAGUUCAUCCUAAACAUUCUAGUUUGAUGCCACUCUGUAAUAUGUAGUCCUUAAUCGCACUAUGAAGAACAAGAUCACAGGACAAUUUUGAUGGUGUUGUAAAGUUGGACUUUUAAGCUUUUCAAAUCAUUUGUUUUGUUUAAAUUUUGAGCUUAAGCAAAAUUAGUUCAGAAGUAACUGUUAAAAUCUC